AUCUGGAGAUCUCCCCACCUUUCUCCAGCAGAGGGCGCCCUACGUCUCCUGGAGCUGAAGCUGACUACCAGACCUGCGGCUGUUUUGCUCAUCAGGAGGAGCAGCAUAUAAGCAGUGGCAGAACUACUCUUCAGCGCCAGAGUGUUAAGCUAGUUACGGAAGAACCUGACUGAGAUCCUGGAGCUCUGGAAGAGCUACUCAACUGAAACCUGCCUGCCUGCUCUCAGUAACAGACCUGAAGAUCAAACUGUCUGGAUCUGUCAGCCAUCCCUCAAGAAGCAACUUGAAGGAGCCCUUAACACUCACAGCCUGAAGCUAAGUUCUGUCGCUUCCAAGCCCUCUGCCAACGUUCAGUCUCUAGACCCUCCUGGUUCCCUCCCUCUACCGCUCAGCCUGAAUCUCUGAACAGAGAGCCAUUGUGUGACCAGUCCCGGAUGUGAUUCCAGCAUCUGUCAUCUAACCUUGAGUUUAUCAUUGAUUCCAGAAUCUGUGAAACAACCUUGUGCAAACCUUUUAAUAAAUUGUUAAACUUUAC